UCUGGGAUUCAGCAGGUUGUAGCAGCUGCACACACACCUUGCAACUCGUCUCUGUUACAGUGGAGUAUGUGGAAGGUGUGUGUCUCACUCAUUCACACAAAGUUCACACACAUUCACAUAAUUGGAUUCACCAGAAGUUCAGACGUUUUUACUCAAGCAGAGCACCACCUCAGGAAUACGAACCAACCUGGACUUUCUCCUACAAACGUGGAACUCUUUUCAAACUUUUUCCAGAAAGGGGGUUAACCCAGGUCUGGCAACCCUUAGGGACUAACCUUUACCUGGAUUUCUAGUGUGAUGGUGUGUCUUGUUCCUGGAGAGAUCCAGUGGCUGUUGAGAGACAGUCUACUCGUAGUCUCAGCCGCUGUUCUGCUAACAGUUUGGACCAGGGCCAAGGCUUCUGACAGGCUUUAGUUUCUCCUGUAAAGUAGUGAGAUCCAGGACUGCUGGAUGUGUCUCCCGUUGGUGCUUCCUACAUCUUCAGAUCAGAGACCGGAAGAGUCAGAGCUGAUCCGUGUGGAGAGAGACCUACAGAGAGGAGAGGACACGGGGAGGAGAGAGACCUGCAGAGAGGAGAGGAGGACACAGGGAGAAG